GGAGGUGGCAAGCUUAUGUAUACGGGCAAACAUACAAAAAGAUUUUAUUCUUUUAUACAACCCGUGGGAAGGUCUGAGAAAAGCCGCUAAAUGUCUUUGCUGGACAACCUGUGAAAACGGGGGCAGUGCUACCAGAAAAUAUAACCCUUUUGCUUCUGUAAACCAAUGAUUUUUAUGAUGGGAAUCUUGUGGAGCAGAAGGGAUUAUUGUAACGGUCUGUGGGCGGAAAUGCUAUGAAGUGCAAUACAUGAGGCUGGUUUUACCAGUAACUCAAUUCAGACUACUCUGUUUCCUCC
rfam:Rhizopus oryzae RA 99-880 supercont3.13 genomic scaffold, whole genome shotgun sequence.